rnacentral:rRNA from 1 species
UAGGGAAUCUUCCGCAAUGGACGCAAGUCUGACGGAGCAACGCCGCGUGAGUGAAGAAGGAUUUCGGUUCGUAAAACUCUGUUGUUAGAGAAGAACAGCGCAUAGAGUAACUGUUAUGCGUGUGACGGUAUCUAACCAGAAAGCCACGGCUAACUACGUGCCAGCAGCCGCGGUAAUACGUAGGUGGCAAGCGUUGUCCGGAUUUAUUGGGCGUAAAGCGAGCGCAGGCGGUCAAUUAAGUCUGAUGUGAAAGCCCCCGGCUCAACCGGGGAGGGUCAUUGGAAACUGGUUGACUUGAGUGCAGAAGAGGGGAGUGGAAUUCCAUGUGUAGCGGUGAAAUGCGUAGAUAUAUGAAGGAACACCAGUGGCGAAGGCGACUCGCUGGUCUGUAACUGACGCUGAGGUUCGAAAGCGUGGGUAGCAAACAGG